rnacentral:tRNA from 1 species
GGGCUGGUAGAUCAGACCGGUAGAUCGCUACAUUGGCAUUGUAGAGGCCGGGGGUUCAAAUCCCCCCCAGUCCA